CUGGCUUCACAUCACAUAUAUUACAAUUGUAAUGAUAGAGAGAAUAUUAGCAUGACCCCUGUGCAAAUAUGACAUAGAAAUUCGUGAACCAUUCCAUGUUUUU